AGGGUUCUUCGGCGCAACAACGCCGUUGUGGAGAUCUGGCGAGGAGCUUUGAAUGCUGGCCAGUGAUCGAUUGGCUUUGGAAGGUAUUUUGCUAGAGUUGGAUGUGAUAGUAUCGUCUGCCCGAAAUGCCGUUGUCGAGAUCUUGCGAGGACCUUUGUUUAACAAUGAAUGCUGGUGAGCGAUCGAUUGCCUGAAAGACAGCUUGGAUAUCAUCUGGAUUUACAGGAAAGGCAAGUUCCAAUUGUGACUGAUGCACAAUAUCAACAUCGACGAUCUAAAUAUACGUUUCGGACUUGAUGUUGUUGCUCAAGGACGCGAUUUCUUCUCACCAAUCCACGGAUUUAUCAUUGGACAGUAGAUUUGGAGCACUGCAAAGCUAAAAAGCAUUUCCGCACUUCCAACGAUGUUCUUGGUCCUUAAGUUCUUGCUCAAUCUUACGACUGUAAGUUUGGAACGAUUUGCCUUUUAUGACUGAGCUGAAUCAGUUCUCAACAAAAUUUUUUCCUGGAAGAUAGCUGGUUUUUUUUUUUUCCUUUACGAGCAUCAUCAGUCUUACCAGUCCCGACAAGAAGACAGAACAAUCUGGAAACUACGAAACAAAUCCUGUUCUUGAGUUCUCGCUCAACCUUACGACGGAACAAUUUGCCUUUCAUGACUGAGCUGAAUCAGUUCUCAACAUUUUUUUUUUCUGGAAGACAGUAUCCUUGUAUGUAGUUGCUGGUUGUUUUUCUUUCUUUCUUUACGAGCAUCAUCAGUUUUACCAGUCUUAUAAAACACCGACAAAUAGAGACAGAACAAACUGGAAACUACGAAACAAAUCCAGGCCUAAAUACACGCGGUCCAGCGCGUGCCAAAUGUGCAGUGAAUACUACACAAAAGCAAGACGUGUCGAGUGACUGCUGCUCGAUGCUAACUUGGACGCUCAACCAAAUCCAAAACAAAUCUCAACAGCCGCAGGAAAGCAAGAUCUGUGGUCACGAGCCGGGAGUUUCUCAAAUCCGAUCUAUCCAGGACACUCUGGAAUUAAGAGAUAAGGCGACAUCCAGCCAGUAAGAUAUAUUCAUAUAUCCGCGAAUUCAGAAAGCUGGUAUGCGGUUUGAUGUUUACAUGUAGCAGAGCUCUUUCUUUGCAGCUUCGCGAGGAAGACGCUCGCGGACGCCUCCUCGCCCGCUGGCUCCACUAUGACUUCCACUGCUGCACACAAGACAGGCGGAACGCUUGUCUUUGCUUGAAAUUUAUGGCAACUUGGAACAAGCGACGAGCGAGGGGUGAGCGAGUGCGCAGUGCAUGACACAACAGUGGAGCCGCUUUGAAAAAACUUAGCGCCGGAGCGCAAUGGAGACGAAACAGAAGGCAAGCACAAGCGUCAAAGUUUUGCGAGCUCUGAGAAAGAAACAGACAAAGUUUUGCAGAACUUCGCGUUUUUCUUUUGGCAGCGGCAUGACCUCACGCAGCAGUACACCGAAAAAGUUUGAAGAGUUUGAAGCUUGACUGUACUCGUUCCUAGACCACGGACAAAUGCCAAUUGGGACCAGCCACGGGAGCUUUUGUGUUUUUCUCGUUGCUGAAAGGAACAGAAGAUACGUAUCAUCAGCUCAGCUCCGACGGAAACGAAGGGUGCUCCGGUCAGCUGACUGAGAAGCAGGAGCAGAAGCUGCUGGUGUGUACAGGUGCAGGACCAGUUUUGGAGUUGUAGAUUGUAUUCCCAAAGCAGAGCUAGUGGCGCAGUUGUUACGUAGGUAUGCAUUGGUUUAAGAGCUCUGUUUUGGUUGUAGAGAAUCAACUUCACCAAGUUGGUGCUUUCCCUAAAACUUCUCAAGUUUU